GCAACUUUUCCUCUGGACGGGUUUUGAUAAAUCUCCCCCCUUAGUGUGUGAUCCAUCUGGCAAACAUUAGACUCGACUUCUCCCACUUGCUGUAGCGCAGCAGCUUGAGGGGAAGGUGGAACCUCCAUCUAUCAGACCUUGAUGACAUAUCCACAGGGACUCAGGACUCUCUUAGCCCGUAUCUCAUCUCGUACUGGCUGCGGAGCUGAAAUCCAGAUGUCCUAAUAUCCAGGUUGGGGGACCCCAUCAUCACUCAUCACAGGUCGUCUCCGCACCACCAGAUAGAGUAUCAAGAAAAGAAAUCCGUCAGCCCCCAAGUGUCCCGGCCGCUGGGCUUGGCUAUUAGAAACACAUGUGGGACACGAGAGAUUCAAAGUGAAGUCUCCGUCCAUGAGAACAUGGCUGUCUGCAAUUAGCGGAGCCGCACUGCGCCAUUGUUUACUUCCCCUGACACGAGCUGUAAAUUCGAGGCU